UACGUCAAAACUCUCUCCAUUCGGUUCUCAAAUUUCUACGUUUUUCAAGCAAAGAGGAGAAGAAGAAGAAGCCGUGAGCAAGCCCUAGCCACCAUCAUCCACCCUUGUGCUAUAGCAUUGAAGUCUUGCUUUCAAGAUUCAAUUGUUCAACAUCUCAAGUGUUCCUCAUCCAUCCCUUCAUGGGGUGUACCCUCAAUCCCUGACUUGAACAAUCCCCAUUUACCAUAUAUUAAUGAUGACAUUUUUUAGGGUUGAAUUGCGUGCUACUUACAGCAUAUCAAUCAUUUGCGCAAGACGGUCUCGGUCCUAAUUUCCCUAAGGAACGGGCUUUCCAAAAUAAGCGAGGGGCCUUAGAAGCAACCAAUGAGGAUUUUGGUUGGGCUUAAGCAUCUGAAACAUUAUUGAAAGCAAAGUUGGGGAUUACAACAUCACCUAGGGCACCAUCACCAUGAUGAACGCAAUCCAUGGAGUCAUGGAGGGGGGCGGCAAUGGCCUUAGGUCGGCAGUGGACCGCGGUGACGCCAGAAGCAGAGGCGGCGGCGGUCACACUCAGUCCAGGAAUCAACCUUUGAUUCUUGCUUCGUUUCGCUCAAAAGAAUUAAUGUUUGUAUGAAGUCUUUAGUAUACGGAUCAUCAUAUCACGACAAGGAUAUCCUAAUCGGUUAUGCCAAAGCCAAUAUAUGUCAAAAUCCAAGAGAUCUUCUCUUAUUACAUUAUUGGAUUCAAUAGGUCGAAUUGUAGUGACAUAAUGUUCACCAGAUUAACACAUAAGCUUCUCUAAAAUGCCCUUCCAUCAGCAAUCAUUAGAGGUAAUGCAAAGGAACUCUUUUCCAUUCUCUGUA